rnacentral:rRNA from 1 species
AAGCAUAUCAAUAAGCGGAGGAAAAGAAACCAACAGGGAUUGCCCUAGUAACGGCGAGUGAAGCGGCAACAGCUCAAAUUUGAAAUCUGGCUCUCGGGCCCGAGUUGUAAUUUGUAGAGGAUACUUUUGAUGCGGUGCCUUCCGAGUUCCCUGGAACGGGACGCCAUAGAGGGUGAGAGCCCCGUCUGGUUGGAUGCCAAAUCUCUGUAAAGUUCCUUCGACGAGUCGAGUAGUUUGGGAAUGCUGCUCUAAAUGGGAGGUAUAUGUCUUCUAAAGCUAAAUACCGGCCAGAGACCGAUAGCGCACAAGUAGAGUGAUCGAAAGAUGAAAAGCACUUUGAAAAGAGAGUUAAAAAGUACGUGAAAUUGUUGAAAGGGAAGCGUUUAUGACCAGACUUGGGCUUGGUUGAUCAUCUGGGGUUCUCCCCAGUGCACUCUUCCAGUCCAGGCCAGCAUCAGUUUUCGCCGGGGGAUAAAGACUUCGGGAAUGUGGCUCUCUUCGGGGAGUGUUAUAGCCCGUUGUGUAAUACCCCGGCGGGGACUGAGGUUCGCGCAUCUGCAAGGAUGCUGGCGUAAUGGUCAUCAACGACCCGUCUUGAAACACGGACCAAGGAGUCGUCUUCGUAUGCGAGUGUUCGGGUGUCAAACCCCUACGCGUAAUGAAAGUGAACGCAGGUGAGAGCUUCGGCGCAUCAUCGACCGAUCCUGAUGUUCUCGGAUGGAUUUGAGUAAGAGCAUACGGGGCCGGACCCGAAAGAAGGUGAACUAUGCCUGUAUAGGGUGAAGCCAGAGGAAACUCUGGUGGAGGCUCGCAGCGGUUCUGACGUGCAAAUCGAUCGUCAAAUAUGGGCAUGGGGGCGAAAGACUAAUCGAACCUUCUAGUAGCUGGUUUCCGCCGA